GGCUGUUUUGCAUCUAUCCUGGCAUGGAUACAACCUCAUUCAUCUGAUAGCCAUGCUACUGAAACAAAAGCACAGAAAAACUCAAAGUAAAACAACUGAAAACGCGGAGACUUAUUAUUUUACUCACUCUCCCGGACAGCGCAGGAAAGGAGAGACAGUACAGAACAUUUGCAGCGGUAUCUAUGGGAUGACAAGCACUUAAAACAAGUCUACAGCACAAGCUCAGAGCCAGCAUUUGUGCCAAGUUUCAAUGACAUGCUUCGGUAACACGAAUUGCUUACUGUUGGGCUUCAUUUAACCAUGCUGUUUCUAGCAGCUCUCUGAACUACGGAUUCUUCUCCCCGAGAAUACAAAAGCACAAGGUUCAUCAGCAAUUAUGCCCGAAAAAGACCCUGAAAAUCAGAACUGUCCACAGUGGCAUUUCUUACAUUUUUGGAUUAAACUUCCUGGUCGAUACUCCAGAAGAAUGUUAUUGGAUCCUGCUGUUGGACACAAUGAGAUCUCAGUCUGGACUUGUAUGCCAUCUCUUUGGGCCUGGAUGGAUAUCUGUACGUCGGCUUAGUAGAAUACCACAUGUUAGCUCGGCUGCUCUAACUGACCACGUUGGCUCUCCUCCCUCUGCACAGUUGUGCUAACACUGUGACUCAUCGCUGCUAACAUUUAAGCAGAUGGGCGGUACCCUGCUAAGCUAUGGUGAUUCGAUCAUGUUCCAUCAUAUGACUCCAUCCAACGAUUAAAGAUAAAUCCACUAAU
rnacentral:lncRNA from 7 species